CCUGAGUCCCAGAAGUUAAUUUGUAACAAAGGUAACUGUGUCCAAGUCCAUUAAGUGGGCGUCUCGGGGAGCAGUUCGCAGGCACCGGAGAGAUGAAAGCCUCGUGCCCGCUAGAAAACGGUUUCGCAACUCACUUCGGCUAGACCAUCUAGUCCUCUGUUAAAUAGCACUGGUGAAGGUACACCCUCGUCUUGUUCUUGUUCUUCAACAGAAAGCAUUCAGUCUUUCACCAACUGCUGAAUCUCCCCAUGACUGAGCAACCAGACUCUUGAACGCAUGCAUAAGACCAUAAUCCAGUGUCUAUAAUCCAAGGUCAAGACUGCUUCAGACUUUAGUCUCGGUUACAAACAGCUCCAGAAGUGCUUAAAAGCAAAAUUCCUAACUCUGAUUUAAUGACUUAUUAGACACAUGACUAUGAACUCGUCAGUUAACUCUUCUAAUCCCUUUGCUUAUAAAAUGCUUAGCACAUGGCCUGGCACACAGAAAGCAAUCAGUAAAUUUUAGUUGAGGAGCAGAGCAAGACUGCUGAAUACAGGGCUUCACCAAUCGUCCUCCUCUGCAUGAGCACCAAUUUGACAACUAUCUACACAAACGAAGCACCUUCCUAUUUUAAGUUGGUGCAAAAGUAAUUGCACUUUUCACCAACAAUCAGGUGAGCACUCACAGUGCCUAAAAAUGGACCUAUCAUAUGAUCCAGAAUUAUUUGACUUCAUAUUGCCGAAAGAGGCACUGAAAAGAAGAGGAAAGACAGUCUUAAAUUACUGAUACCAGCCCUCCCCAAUCCCUUCCCCUGGCAGUGGCUGCAUGGCACAGAGAAUCUGGUACUUGGGAGAGGGAGAGUGUAAUGAUUGUGAGACUUUGCACUGAACUCAGUGCUGCCCUAACAGCAGAGGGCAGAACUCCAGGGCAGUCAGCUGACAUCCACCCACAGAGGGAACAUAUGGACUGGCCUUAGCCAGAGGGGAAUCACUUAUCCCAGUGGUGAGAGCUUGAGUUCCAACAAGCCUUGUCAUCACAAGCUGAAGUGCUCUGAAGCCUUGACUGAGGGGCAGUCUAGACCACAAAGACUGCAAUUCUUAGGCAUGUCCCAGUGCUGAGCUGGGCUUGGAGCCAGUGUAAGGGGAGCAGGGCACACAACCUACUGAGACACCAAGUAGGGUGGCUAAGGGAGUGCUUUCAUUAUCCCUCCCCCAACCCAGGCAGCACAAUCAUAGCUCCAAAAGAGUCUCCUUCCUUUUGCUAAAGAGGAGAGGAAAGAGUAAAGAUUACUUUGUCUUUCAUCUUUGAUACCAGAUCAGCCAUAGUAGGACAGGGCACUGGUCAGGGUUGUGAGGCACCAUUCCAGGCCCUAGCUCCCAGAAAACAUUUCUAGACACACAACUUGGGCCUGAAGGGAACCCACUGCCUUAAAGGGAAGGACCCAGUCCUGGCAGGAUCCAUUAGAUUCUGCCUAAAGAGCCCUUAGGCCCUAAACAACCAGCACUGAUACCCAGGUAUUAUGCCAUGGGCCUUGGGUGAGACUCAGAGAUUUGCUGGCUUCAGGUAGUAGCUCAGUGACAGUGGAAUAUAGCACCAAGCAGACUCUUUGGGUCCCUAGUUCCAGGCCUUGGCUCUUAAAUGGCAUUUCUGGACCUGCCCUAGGCCAGAGGGGAGCUCACUGCUCUGUAGUGUGCAGUAGCAUUUCGAUAUGCCAACAGUGAACAAUCUGAAAAAGAAAUCAAUAAAACAAUGCCAUUUACAAUAGCUACAAAUAAAAUAAAAUACCUCCGAAUUAGCUUAACCAAAGAAGUGAAAGAUCUCUUCAAUGAAAACUAUAAACCACUGGUACAAGAAAUUGAAAAUAACACAAAAAAUGGAAAGAUAUUACAUGUUCAUGGAUUGGAAAAAUUAAUAUUGUUAACAUGUCCAUAUUACCCAAAGUGAUCUGCAGAUUCAAUGCAAUCCCUAUCAAAAUAUCAAUGACAAUUUUCACAGAAAUAGAAAAAACAAUCCUAAAAUUUAUGUGGAACCACAAAACACCCUGAAUUACAAAAGCUAGCCUAAGCAAAAAGAAUAAAACUGGAGGAAUCACAUUACCUGACUUCUAAUUACACUACAGAACUAUAGUAACUAAAAUGGUAUGGUACUGGCAUAAAAACAGACACACAGACCAGUGGAACAGAAUCGGGAACCCAGAAAUAAAUCCAUACAUCUACAGUAAACUCACUUUUGACAAUGGUUCCAAGAAUAUGCUAGGAAAAGUGAAUAUCCAUAUGCAGAAGAAUGAAACAAGAUCCCUAUCUCAUGCUAUAUAAAAAAAUCAAAUCAAAAUGGAUUAAAUACCUAAAUUAAGACCUUAAACUAUGAAACCAUUAAAAGACAGUAUCUGGGACAUUAGAGUGGACAAAGAUUUCUUAAGUAAUACCUACAAGCACAGGCAACCAAAGCAAAAAUGAACAAAUGGGAUCACGUCAAGUAAAAAAGCUUCUGUACAGCAAAGGAAACAAGAAAUAAAUUGAAGGGACAAGCCACAGAAUGGGAGAAAAUAUUUGCAAACUACCAUCUGAGAAAGGAUUUAUAACCAGAAUACAUAAGGAGCUCGAACAACUCUAAAGUCUAACAAUCUGAUUUAAAAAUGGGCAAAUAGCUGAAUAGACAUGUCUCAAAAGAAGACAUACAAAUGGCAGACAGGCAUAGCAAAAGAUGCUUAACAUCAAUGAUCAUCGUAAAAAUGCAAAUCAAAACUUCAAUGAGAUAUCAUCUCACCCCUGUUAAAAUGGCUUUUAUCCAAAAGACAGGCUAUAACAAAUGCUGGUGAGGCUGUGGAGAAAAGAGAACUCUCGCAUACUGUUAGUAUGUGAGAAUCUAAAUUAGUACAACCACUAUGGAGAACAGUUUGGAGGUUCCUCAAAGAACUAAAAAUGGACCUAUCAUAUGAUCCAGAAUCCCACUGCUGGGUACACAGCCAAAAGAAAGAAAAUCGGUGUACUGAAGAGAUGUGUGCACUCCCAUGUUUGUUGCAACUCUGUUCACAAUAGCCAAGACUUGGAAGAAACCUAAGUGUCCAUCAGUGAAUGACUAGAUAAAGAAAAUGUAGCAUGUAUACACAAUGGAGUACUGUUCAGCCAUAAAAAGAAUGAGAUCCUGUCAUUUGCAACAACAUGGAUGAAAAUGGAGGUCAUUAAGUGAAAUAAGCCAGGCACAGAAAGACAAACUUCACAUGUUCUUACUUACUUGUGGGAACUAAAAAUUUAAAACAACUGAAGUCAUGGAGAUAGACAGUAUAAUGAUGGUUACCAGAGGCUGGGAAGGGUAGUAGCAGGGAGUGGUGGAGAAGUGGGUAUGAUUAAUGGGUACAAAAACAAUAGAAAGAAUGAAUAAGAGCUAGUAUGUGCUAGUACAACAGGUUGACUAUAGUAAAAAUAUAAUUGCACAUUUUGAAAUAACUAGGAGUGUACUUGGAUUGUUUGUAACAAAAGGUAAAUACUUGAGGGGACAGAAACCCAUGCACCAUGAUGUAAUUAUUAUGCAUUGUAAGCCUGUAUCAAAAUAUCUCAUGGAACCCGUAACUAUAUACAUCUACUAUGUACCCACAAAAAUUAAAAAUACAACAUUAAAAA